rnacentral:lncRNA from 1 species
UAUAACUAGUAAGAUAAACGGAACAUUUUCGAUAUCCAACCGUGCGGCAACAGUUAACCCGUUGAUCAAACCAAAAAUAGCUACGAUUCCACAGCUUCAAUUUUCCUAUUUUUAAAAUUAUUAAUUUUAGGAAAGAAGAGAAAAUCAGAAAAAACUAUAUAUUGGAGGCCUACGCCCCGAUCAAAUGACUCGUCUCCCUCAAUUAACCCCCCUGCGCCAUACGAUCUUCAGUCCCCAAACUUUCAGGCGGAGGGCCGGUCCAUCUCUCUCUUCUCCAACAAUUUUCAAAAAACCAUAAUUAAAAAUGGUGAAGGGAGUGAGAUCGAUGCGGCGGGAAGUGGCCCCGGCACUGUUGAAAUCUCGAGUGCUCCUCCGGCAGCGUUCAUCGUGUGGGCCACCUUGCUUGGAGACAAUUCAGGAAGAGAGUCCCCGCCCGAGAAAUGGGAGCAUGACGGCGUUCUCGCCGUCGGCGAGGGAUACGAGAGUGAUGUUGAUUCUCCCUGUGUUUAUUUCCUUAGCAGUGUUCUUCUUCUUCCAUAGGGACGUCGUAUUGGUUGGGAGGUCCGACUAAAAGGGGCCGAUUUCUUUUUUUUAUAUAUUUUGUUUGUAAUUUUAGUUCGAGUCUGUCUUCGUUCGGGUGGACGACACCGUUUUGGUAUAUUGAGAUUAAAACUGGUGAUUGAUGGUUUAUGAUUAUUAAUUAUUGAAAUUAAAAUAAUUCAAAGGAGAAAGUAUCCAUCUUUUUUGUGUCUAGUUAUCAUAUCCGACGAUAUUAAAGUAGUACGAUCAAUUAGUACUUUUGUGAUGCCUCGUUAUCUUUCAUAGGAGAGGAUGUUGUGCCGCUUUGGCAUUCCC